CCUACGGGAGGCAGCAGUGAGGAAUAUUGGUCAAUGGACGCAAGUCUGAACCAGCCAUGCCGCGUGCAGGAAGACGGCUCUAUGAGUUGUAAACUGCUUUUGUACGAGGGUAAACGCAGAUACGCGUAUCUGUCUGAAAGUAUCGUACGAAUAAGGAUCGGCUAACUCCGUGCCAGCAGCCGCGGUAAUACGGAGGAUUCAAGCGUUAUCCGGAUUUAUUGGGUUUAAAGGGUGCGUAGGCGGUCGGAUAAGUUAGAGGUGAAAUCUCGAGGCGCAACCUCGGAAUUGCCUCUGAUACUGGUAGGCUAGAUAGUAGUUGAGGUAGGCGGAAUGUAUGGUGUAGCGGUGAAAUGCUUAGAGAUCAUACAGAACACCGAUUGCGAAGGCAGCUUACCAAGCUACUUCUGACGUUGAGGCACGAAAGCGUGGGGAGCAAACAGGAUUAGAUACCCCUGUAGUC
rnacentral:rRNA from 1 species